UGCAGAUCAUCGUGAAAUUGCUGAUUGUCGUCCUUUGGGCAUUAUUUGGUGUUGUUUCUUUCACAUCAAAUAGUCUACAUAAAAUGUAUGGCAAUAGCGCCUGGUCCUGCCCACCAUGGUGUAGCAAUUAAAUGGCGAGAAAAAGAGAUACAAAAGGUUCAACUGUAGUUGUUCUCGAUGUCUUAUUAAAAAGUGAAAUACUUUUGACUUGUGCAUUAACUUUUAUUUAUAAUUUGAUUUAAUAAA
ensembl:ncRNA lncRNA:CR44459 long non-coding RNA:CR44459